ACGGGUGUAGCUCAAUUGGUAGAGUGGCGGUCUCCAAAACCGUAGGCUGUGGGUUCGAGUCCUACCACCCGUGCGA
rnacentral:tRNA from 1 species